GGUCACCGUUUGUGUGGAGUGGCUUUUCUUCGCUGCCCCUUUGUUGAUAGUGUGUCUGGCGCGGGUGGCGUUGCCCUCACGUUUUCAUUGUGGUUAUUUUCCGCUUCUCGUAAGCCCUAUGACUUUCUAUCGCAUUGAGUCUUGUUGUUCCAGCAGCCCACAGAGAAGAUGUCUCGGGCUGGGCUGGAGAGGGGGGAGGCGGUGGUAGUGGUGGUGGAGACAGUUUUUCCUGUCCUUACUUCCUCUACCAGGCUAGCAGGGGUAGCAGGUAAAGUAUUUAGCGUCAGCCCUGUGUUUAUUUUACUCGCUGCUCUCCCCCUGCGCUCUGCAGGUUAGAGCUCCCCCUUGAGGCGGUGGUGGUCGCGCGGAGUGGUUGGAAUAUACAGAGAGUUAUUACGAAGCCACUUCCCUAUGGGUUUCGCCGUCUGUCUAUCUGUCUGUCUUUUAGAGUCACAUGACGCAUGGGCAAAAAGAGGAGUGUUGCCUGGAGACCAAUCUGUCAUUCCAGCAUCCCUUUAUUGGAGGAGGGACCAAACAAUAUAGGUUGGCACAAUACUGUUCCAGAAUAUCUCCAGAAUAUUAUGUUUGCCUCUUGUAUCAGUAGGGUAGAAAGCAGUUAGCUAGCUAGCUGGGGACCCUUAAGGCUGUCGAACAGAGAAAGUCGUUGCAAAGUUCCUGAAAGAAGUGUGUUGGUAAUGGCAGCUUUGGGACAUUCGUAAGUGAACCCGGGAAACUCAAGCCUGGAGUCUAGACAACAAUAUCAAGUUGAAAAGAAAUGGGGGGAAACUUACUUAAGUUGUGAAAGUCUCUCUCUAACUCUGUCUGUCUCUAUCUAGCUCUUCCUCUGUUUCUCUCUAUCCCUAUGUUUAGAUCCAACCAAACAGAAGCAUCGCUAAAAGAAAAAGGAUAGCGGAGAGUGAUCAUUAGAAACCAGGGUGAUUAGGAGUGGAGCACCCAUAGUGGCUGGUACCUGGCUUUUCCCGAAAAGACUCCUCUGGCGCUGAUAGCAGUCAACCAAAGGUUUCACCGGGAGCCCGGUCGUUCCCACCGCCACAACCCAUGUGCCAUGUUGUUCUGAGCCAACACACUUCUGCUCUCAGGUCUUCUGCAAGGCGUCCUUCAUCAAGGCUGCGAUGGCUCCGCGUGGUCUGAUGAUGAGAUCAGCGCGCAGGGCUGACAGACUGGGGGGUAUGGAGGUUCUCCAAGAGCGCCGCACACCAGGAGAGGCAGUCGACUAUAUCAUCAUAACCCUUCGGCAACGGCACAGUGAACAAACAUGUGGCGGGAUCCGGGAGAAGGCUUCGGGGCGAAAGAAACUUGUGGAAAAUACGAAAAUAUGAAAUCCUCGGUGGCAACAGUGUGUAUGUGGUGUGCUUGCACUGAAGUGAGCCUGUGCCGCCACUAGAUGGCGUCAGAUCCCACUGAAGCGCUCGAGGGACCGCGGUCGAAGCAAGACAAUAACAAGAGGCCGGCAAGAACAGCGAGGCCUCCGCUGAUGCGUGAAGACCUCGGAGAGCGGUGGGGGCAUCGUCACCUUGCCCAGAGACCCCCAGUACAAUCUUCCACUGCCCGGGCCGUGUUUACCACAACCGCUACCACCACCACCACCACUGCUGCCAAUGCACAGUUCAUAAAUAGAGCGGCACGUGAUAUACCAUGAGACCAGCUUGUUUUAUUAAAAUGGAAAUCAUAAUCACCACGCUUGCAUCCCCCUCUGCCCUUCACCCUCUCUUAAAGGCCAGGCUAAUUACCCGCACGCUGCUGAUAGCCAUACGAUUUAUCUGUAUUAUCUUUAGUUUAUUGUAAUCUGUGAAGGAACCUUGUUAUUAUCACUAGUUUGAUUAUUUUUUAAUAGUGUAGCCUGUACGGUUAAUAAUGUUUUCCUGAACUGUCAAUAAUCGUAUUAUUGUUAUGCCGGUACAUUCCGCUGUUCAUUUCUACCACACAUAAUCAUGUAGGCUGUAUUUAUGUAUACCAUUUUUCUCUUAAAUAACUUUUAAAAUCA